rnacentral:rRNA from 1 species
CCUACGGGUGGCAGCAGUGAGGAAUAUUGGUCAAUGGACGAGAGUCUGAACCAGCCAAGUAGCGUGAAGGAUGAAUGCCCUAUGGGUUGUAAACUUCUUUUAUAUGGGAAUAAAACGUUCCACGUGUGGGAUUUUGUAUGUACCAUAUGAAUAAGGAUCGGCUAACUCCGUGCCAGCAGCCGCGGUAAUACGGAGGAUCCGAGCGUUAUCCGGAUUUAUUGGGUUUAAAGGGAGCGUAGGUGGAUUGUUAAGUCAGUUGUGAAAGUUUGCGGCUUAACCGUAAAAUUGCAGUUGAAACUGGCAGUCUUGAGUACAGGAGAGGUAGGCGGAAUUCGUGGUGUAGCGGUGAAAUGCUUAGAUAUCACGAAGAACUCCGAUUGCGAAGGCAGUUCACUGGACUGCAACUGACACUGAGGCUCGAAAGUGUGGGUAUCAAACAGGAUUAGAUACCCGUGUAGUC